rnacentral:rRNA from 1 species
ACAGCAAUAUGAAGGUCAGGCUGAAGACCUUACCCGAUUAGCUGAGAGGUGGUGCAUGGCCGUCGUCAGUUCGUACUGUGAAGCAUCCUGUUAAGUCAGGCAACGAGCGAGACCCACGUCCACAGUUGCCAGCAUACCCUCCGGGGUGAUGGGUACACUGUGGAGACCGCCGCUGCUAAAGCGGAGGAAGGAGUGGGCAACGGUAGGUCAGUAUGCCCCGAAUCUCCCGGGCUACACGCGGGCUACAAUGGUUGGUACAAUGGGCAUCUACCCCGAAAGGGGAAGGAAAUCUCUUAAAGCCAAUCGUAGUUCGGAUUGAGGGCUGCAACUCGCCCUCAUAAAGCUGGAAUCCGUAGUAAUCGCGUUUCAACAGAACGCGGUGAAUACGUCCCUGCUCCUU